rnacentral:rRNA from 1 species
CCUACGGGAGGCAGCAGUGGGGAAUUUUGGACAAUGGGCGCAAGCCUGAUCCAGCAAUGCCGCGUGAGUGAAGAAGGCCUUCGGGUUGUAAAGCUCUUUUGUCAGGGAAGAAACGGUCUACUCUAAUACAGUGGGCUAAUGACGGUACCUGAAGAAUAAGCACCGGCUAACUACGUGCCAGCAGCCGCGGUAAUACGUAGGGUGCAAGCGUUAAUCGGAAUUACUGGGCGUAAAGCGUGCGCAGGCGGUUAUAUAAGUCAGAUGUGAAAUCCCCGGGCUCAACCUGGGAACUGCAUUUGAGACUGUAUGGCUAGAGUGUGUCAGAGGGGGGUAGAAUUCCACGUGUAGCAGUGAAAUGCGUAGAUAUGUGGAGGAAUACCGAUGGCGAAGGCAGCCCCCUGGGAUAACACUGACGCUCAUACACGAAAGCGUGGGGAGCAAACAGGAUUAGAUACCCUGGUAGUCCACGCCCUAAACGAUGUCUACUAGUUGUCGGGACUUAAUUGUCUUGGUAACGCAGCUAACGCGUGAAGUAGACCGCCUGGGGAGUACGGUCGCGAAGNUUAAAACNCAAAUGAAUUGACGG